rnacentral:lncRNA from 1 species
GUGAUUUCUAAAUUACAGAUUUGAGUUAUUUUCCCCCUCCUAAAGCAGUUUCCUUUUGAUCUGUAUUUUUUUUCACUUGAGCAGGGGGAAUAGUUGUCCUGCAAAUUUAUCAAUAAUUUUUUUUAUGAAUUUGACAUGCGUCAUGAAUUUCCAGAGACAAUUUCUGUAGUAAUAAUGUCAUCCCUAAAGGAACUGCAGCUGUCUAUUCAGGUGCAUUCAAUCUCUCCUUGAUGGGAAUAAUUACCUUCCACCCUCACUGGGUAAUUGCCUUUUGAUUGAGGUCAUCAGAGCAAUCAAGCCAUUGAGAGGUAAAAAUCUCUGGUAAAGAGACAAGGGAAAAAGUCAGGAAGGGAAAUUUGAAAAGGUAGCAUUAAUAGAAAGAGGUGGUACAUAGUCAUUAAGCUUUGCUGCUUCCACUAGUAUGAAAUAUGAAGGCUCUUGUUCAAAAAUAAUUUUAUGUUUAAAUACUCAUGUCAUAUAUCUGCUCCCCCUUCAUAGACUUUUAAACAAAGAAAAGGGAUUUUUGGUUUUGUUUGUUUGUUUUUAGAAAUGUUAAUAGAUACAGUUGUGUGGUAAAGUAGGCAGGUGAUUUAAAUCAGUAAAUAUUUAUUGAUCACUUUCUAAGUUUAAUUAAAAGGGAUGGCCACCAUUCAAUAAUUCAGAAGGGGUAUGCUAAGAUAGCAAUAUGGCAUGAGGAGGCUUCAAUAUGAUCAGUAAAGCGGAGUCAGAAUGAUGCUUAGAGAGUAUCUGCUCAUGUCCUUCUUUGUAAAGAUGGAGAAAUUGGAACCCAAACAGCUUAUGUGGCUUGCCCUUUUGCUACAGGGCAAGGAUCCAGGACAAUUACAAGGGACUCAUGAUGAAAAAGGAUAUCCACUGGCAUAGAUGGAACAGAUGGAGUCUGAAUGCAGAUUCAAAUUCUUCACUUCAUUAUCUCCAUGAAUUUUUCUCUCUUGUAAACAAUGUGUCUUGUUUUAUACAAUGACAAUCAUGGACAAAUGAAUUAAAAUCUAUAUCAUAUUACCUGCCUCCUUCAGGAAGGGUGAGGAUAGGAGGAAGGAAGAGAACAUGAUUUACAAAAUGAGAGAAAAUUAAUAAUAAAAUUUGUCUUGACUAAAAAAAUGAAAGAGUU